AGCUCCAGUAGCGUAUAUUAAAGUUGUUGCAGUUAAAAAGCUCGUAGUUGGAUUUCUGGUAUGCUGCGCCUGGCCCGCCCACCUUAGUGGGUGAGUGUCGGAGCGCGGUUGCCAUCCUUUUAGAGAACGGGUCUACCAUUCGUUUGGCCGGAUUCGGGAUCUAGAUCUUUUACUUUGAAAAAAUUAGAGUGUUUAAAGCAGGCUAUUGCUAUGAAUACAUUAGCAUGGAAUAAUAAUAUAGGACUUUGGUCCUAUUUUGUUGGUUUUCAGGACUAAAGUAAUGAUUGAUAGGGAUAGUUGGGGGUGCUAGUAUUCAGCGGCCAGAGGUGAAAUUCUUAGAUUCGCUGAAGACUAACUUAUGCGAAAGCAUUCACCAAGGAUGUCUUCUUUAAUCAAGAAC
rnacentral:rRNA from 1 species